rnacentral:rRNA from 1 species
UACGGGGGGGGCAAGCGUUGUUCGGAAUUACUGGGCGUAAAGGGCUCGUAGGCGGCCAACUAAGUCAGACGUGAAAUCCCUCGGCUUAACCGGGGAACUGCGUCUGAUACUGGUUGGCUUGAAUCCGGGAGAGGGAUGUGGAAUUCCAGGUGUAGCGGUGAAAUGCGCAGAUAUCAGGAGGAACACCGGUGGCGAAGGCGGAUCUCUGGGCCUUACCUGACGCUGAGGCGCGAAAGCUAGGGGAGCGAACAGG